AAGGUUUUAGCUUAAUUAAAGCGUCUGCGUUGCAUGCAGGAGAUGUGGGGUAGUCUCCCGCAAGUCUUA
rnacentral:tRNA from 1 species